UUGCUUUUAUAUUAUUUUGUGUUUUUUUCCACCCAAUUUUUAAACUUUUGCUCAAAGUUUUAAUCGUAUUUCUAAAACUUUUAAUGUCACUUAAAGCUGGGGUAGGCGGUUUUACUCUGCUGUUAUUAUGAAAAAAUCCCAUAAUAAACUUUAAGCACAUAACCUGCCCUUUUUCCUCCCUAAAAAACAGCUCCAGCAGCUUUAACGAUCACUUAUUGAUACACUCAUGAAUAAAUACACUUUCACAUCGAACCAAAUAGAAAAUGCAACAAGGAGUGCUUCAGAACAAAGACCACUGACAGCGGGUGGGGCUGGAUUAUCAAAGGAUUACCUGUGAUCACUGUGUCACCUGUACCUGUGUGUGGCUGCUCAGGUGUGCUGCUGACGGUGACGAUGGGAGGAGAGCAGAGCCGCGACACGGAGGCUGAGGAGAGAGAAGAGGAGGCUGAAAAUCAUCAAAAAUCUGCCCAAACUGACAGCUCACAGUCUGCUGAAGACACCCCAGGAGAGCUGCCCCAGUGCCACAUGGGAAACAGGAAGGUGGACAACAUGUGUUUCAUGAUCUCGUGCACCAACUGGUACUAAACUGGACCUUCAUGACGCCGAAGAUGAAGAGACUUCAGGGCCAGAUGCUGCAUUCAUGGACGCCACGAAAAUCUAAAAAUGAAGCCGUCGCUGAAGUCCCGUGUGUUGUCUGCAUCGCUCCGCCCAGCGAAGAAAUGACCAACUGCUGUUUACAAAUAUACACGCUAAUCACAAGAUCUGUAACGUGUUCAUGAGUGAGCGUCAGAGGAGCUGAGAGGACGACUGCAGGUCAGAGCCAGGCUAACUUUUCCCCCCGUUUCCAGUCUCUAUGCUAAGCUAAGCUAACCAGCAGGGGCUUUAUUUUCUCUACACUCUUCGAUAUAAAGGCGCUAAUGAGAACCACAGUGUUCUGCAGCUUGUUCUUGUAAGAGAACCCUUUUUGAUUUCCCGGUAAACCUUUUAUUAAGGUCCCAACAGGAAGGGACAGAUCUUUUCAGAAGCAAAUGGUUCUGUGUAGAAGCUCAGCAUUUCAGGAAGAACCCUUUAGAAAUCUUUAUUUCUAAGAGUGUACAGACGUGAGUGGUAGUGUCUUAACUCUUAGCAAGAAAAUUAGUGCUUUUCUCCAAAUAUUUAACUUCUUCUUUAAAGUACGACAGACUGAAAUCCCACAUCAUUAUUUCUUAAAACAUUUCUAAUAAAAAAAAAAACAUGUGCAGCGUAUUUUUAAUUUCUGCUUUCUAAAGCAAUAAACCCAAAAGGUAAAAAACAUGCAAAGAUAAAAAUCAAUAUCCCAAACUGACCGUCGUUAAGAUCCGGUUUGCUCAUGAAAAGAGGCAGAAGAAGAGACGGAGCGGAGACAAACACGCAUGGUUGGGACAAAAUGUGCUCCAGUAAACCCACUGAGGUGUGUAUUUUCUCUGUUAUGACUGUUUGUUUUUUUUAACCAUUAAGUAUUAUUAAAGAAAACGUCUCUGCUGA